UACGUAGGUGGCGAGCGUUGUCCGGAUUUACUGGGCGUAAAGGGAGCGUAGGCGGACUUUUAAGUGAGAUGUGAAAUACCCAGGCUCAACCUGGGGGCUGCAUUUCAAACUGGAAGUCUAGAGUGCAGGAGAGGAGAGUGGAAUUCCUAGUGUAGCGGUGAAAUGCGUAGAGAUUAGGAAGAACACCAGUGGCGAAGACGACUCUCUGGACUGUAACUGACGCUGAGGCUCGAAAGCGUGGGGAGCAAACAGG
rnacentral:rRNA from 1 species